AGCUGAGUUUGAUCCUGGCUCAGAUUGAACGCUGGCGGUAUGCCUUACACAUGCAAGUCGAACGGUAGAGGGGAAACCCUUGAGAGUGGCGAACGGGUGAGUAAUACAUCGGAACGUGCCCAGUCGUGGGGGAUAACGUAGCGAAAGCUACGCUAAUACCGCAUACGACCUGAGGGUGAAAGCGGGGACUCGCAAGAGCCUCGCGCGAUUGGAGCGGCCGAUGGCAGAUUAGGUAGUUGGUGGGGUAAAGGCCCACCAAGCCUGCGAUCUGUAGCUGGUCUGAGA
rnacentral:rRNA from 1 species